ensembl:misc_RNA 7SK 7SK RNA
GGAUAUGAGGGUGAUCUGACUGUGAUUUUGACAUCUGUCACCCCACUGAUUGCCAGGGUUGACUCAGCUGAUCUGGCCGGCUAGGUGGGAGUCCCCUUCCUCCCCCACCACUCCGUGUGCAACCCUUGUCCCUCCCAAAGCUGUGUGCUCCACCCCCACAGAAGAAGACUGUUUCCUUGGUCAGCAGUACGUGAGUAGCCCCACUAGAACCUCCAAACAAGAAUGCCCAGAUCGUACACGAGGACAAUAAAAGAUGGAGAUUUGAGAUCAAUAAGGAAAAAAAGAAAAAACCCUCCACAUUAGCAUCAUAUUGGUUCCAGAUAUCUGU